rnacentral:tRNA from 1 species
UCUUCGGUAGUAUAGUGGUGAGUAUAUUCGCCUGUCAUUGACAGAAUCGCGAAUGACCCGGGUUCAAUUCCCGGCCGGAGAG